AUUGAACGCUGGCGGCAGGCCUAACACAUGCAAGUCGAACGAGUGGCGGACGGGUGAGUAAUGUCUGGGAAACUGCCUGAUGGAGGGGGAUAACUACUGGAAACGGUAGCUAAUACCGCAUACCAUCGGAUGUGCCCAGAUGGGAUUAGCUAGUAGGUGAGGUAAUGGCUCACCUAGGCGACGAUCCCUAGCUGGUCUGAGAGGAUGAUCUGCCACACUGGGUCUUAGACACGGCCCAGACUCCUACGGGAGGCAGCAGUGGGGAAGAUUGCACAAUGGGCGCAAGCCUUAUGCAGCCAUGCCGCGUGUAUGAAGAUGGCCCUAGGGUUGUAAAGUACUUUCAGUCGGGAGGCGUUACCGACAGAAGAAGCACCGGCUAACUCCGUGCCAGCAGCCGCGGUAAUAC
rnacentral:rRNA from 1 species